AUGGCCGUGCUCCCUCCCCGCUGCUGCCCCUCCCUCUUCACAGCAGUGAUCUUGCUCCUGUUUCGCCCAUCUCCGGCAUCGCCUCAUGCUUUCUUCAUCUUCGGCGACUCCCUCGUCGACGCGGGGAACAACGACUAUCUCGUGACCCUCUCCAAGGCCAACACCCCGCCAUACGGCGUCGACUUCUCGUUUUCUGGCGGCAAGCCGACCGGGAGAUUCACAAACGGCAGGACCAUUGCGGAUGUCAUUGGUGAAGCCUUGGGGCAGGAGAGCUUUGCUCCUCCCUACUUGGCCCCAAACUCUAGUGCUGAAGUGAUCAACAGUGGAGCCAACUAUGCUUCUGGUUCUUCCGGCAUUUUCGACGAGACCGGUUCCUUCUAUAUCGGAAGGGUGCCACUAGGACAGCAAAUCAGCUACUUUGAGAAGACCAGAGCUCAGGUACUGGAGACCAUGGGGGAGAAUGCCACGGCCGACUUCUUGGGGAACGCGCUCUUCACGGUGGCUGCUGGAUCCAAUGACAUCCUGGAGUACCUCUCACCUGCAGUGCCAUUCUUGGGACGACAGAAACCUGACCCUGCAGUUUUCCAGGACGCCUUGGUUGCCAAGUUGGCAUUUCAUCUCAAGCGGCUGAACGAGCUCGGGGCUAGGAAAUUUGUCAUCGCCGACGUCGGCCCGCUGGGCUGCAUACCGUACGUGCGCGCCCUGGAGUUCAUCCCUGCGGGCGAGUGUUCGGCGGCUGUGAACAGGCUCUGCGAAGGCUACAACAGGAGGCUGAAGAGGAUGAUCGGCAGGCUGAACCAGGAGACGGGCCCGGAGAGCGCGUUCGUCUACACCAACACCCACGGCAUCGUCAUGGAGAUCAUCCGGCAGCACCGUCAAUACGGUAGCAGGAUUUUCUUUCUUGCGUGCUGCAGGCAGGUUCGCAUUUCGUGGACUGAGAGUUGGAUCUGUGUCGUAGGUUUCGAGGAGGCGCUGGACCCUUGCUGCGGCGGCAGCUUCCCGCCGUUCCUCUGCAUGGGCGUCGCCAACUCGAGCUCCGCCACCCUGUGCGAGGACCGCUCCAAGUACGUGUUCUGGGACGCGUUCCACCCGACCGAGGCCGUCAACCUCAUCGUCGCCGGCAGGAUCGUCGACGGCGGCGCCGCCGAUGCGUGGCCCGUCAACGUCCGCGCCUUGUUCCAGCGUCGAUACGGAUGA
rnacentral:rRNA from 1 species